UUGCAUUGGAGUCUGAGUGAGAGUUUUAAAUGGCUUUGGUAAUGCAGACAAGAUUCAUAAUUUAUCUCCACUCUUGUCCAGAAAGCAGUGAGUCACAGAAAAUCCUUGAAAACACUGAAUAAUUAAGUGGGCAUUGCAGUAUUUUAUUUUUCACGUCACUGUCCCCAUCUGGGAACCCAUACCUGAAAUGGUGCAUUGAGCCUGAAAUUCAGUCAGAUUCCUGCAAGCAAAUCUGAACAUGUAAAGGAUCAUGGCUGAAACUGCAGUUUGCUUGGGAACAUUCUCUGCUGUGAAGACACUCUGGGAAGUGAGAAUACACAAGAUAAAUGAAGAAUUACGGAGAGAAAAGGAAUUCAGGCAGAGGUCUGCAGGAAGGCUACUGCUUGUCUGGGAGGAGAGAGCUGCUUUAGCAAAGCUUAAAGAAAAAGUUAUUAAUGAAGGUGGAAGAGCAAUUUUAAGGAUAGAGGAAGAAGAAUGGAAGACAUUACCUUCAUGCUUACUGAAAUUAAUCCAUCUCCAGGAAUGGCAGCUUCACAGAACUAGUUUACAGAAAAUUCCUCAGUUUAUUGGAAGAUUUCACAGCCUUGUUGUUCUGGAUCUAUCCCGGAACUCAAUUGAAAGUGUACCUAAAGAAAUUGGCCAGCUGACCAGCCUCCAAGAGCUGCUUCUCAGUUACAACAGAAUAAAAUCUGUUCCUAAGGAAAUAAGUAACUGCAUCAGUCUGGAAAGAUUGGAACUGGCUGUCAACAGAAAUAUCUGUGAUCUUCCUCCUCAGCUCAGUGAUUUAAAGAAGCUGUCACACAUAGAUCUGUGCAUGAAUCAGUUUACUGCCAUCCCUUCAGCUCUCCUCAACAUGCCAAAUCUCGAAUGGUUAGAUAUGGGGGGAAACAAACUCCAGGAGCUUCCUGACACAAUUGACAGAAUGGAAAACCUCCACACUUUAUGGCUCCAAAGGAAUGAAAUAAACUCUUUGCCAGAAACCAUUGGUAAUAUGAAAAAUCUUAGUACUCUUGUUCUUAGCAACAACAAACUUAAGGAUAUUCCAGCUUGUAUGAAGGACAUGACAAAUCUGAGAUUUGUCAACUUCAGAGACAACCCACUGGAGCUAGAGGUAACACUCCCUCCAUGUGAGAACACAGACGAGGAGGAGCAACAGGAAAUGUUUGGCAUUGACUUCAUGCACAUGUAUAUCCAGGAAUCACUGAAGAAAACAGGAAAUGUGGAAAGUUGUACUUCUGGUUCUCCUCCUGUCAUGAAUCCUAAUGAAUAAAGAAUGUAACUGUGAAUGGAAGAAAAUAUCAAGUACACUUCUUCGCAGGAAAGAGGCUACAACAGUUGGCUCUGGUAUCAAAGAAGGAUUUGGGACAGCUGUCAACAGGACAUUCUCCAAGGACACAGCAGACUCUGUAUAAUACUGCAGUGCAGCCUUGUAUCCGUGCUGUUGUAAAUACUCAAUG